CUGCCCGUUGGCUGCCAGCUGC
rnacentral:miRNA from 1 species